GACGAACGCUGGCGGCGUGCUUAACACAUGCAAGUCGAACGAGAUCCAUGGAGUAGCAAUACUCCGGAAGAUCUAGUGGCGAACGGGUGAGUAACACGUGAGCAACCUGCCCCAAAGACUGGGAUAACCCCGGGAACCGGAGCUAAUACCGGAUGUCCUCGUCGGAUCGCAUGGUCUGAUGAGGAAAUGAAUUUCGCUUUGGGUAGGGGGCGUCGCGGGAUAUCAGCUUGUUGGNGGGGGUAACGGGCCUACCAAGGCUUCGACGUCUAGCUGGUCUGAGAGGACGAUCAGCCACACUGGGACUGAGACACGGCCCAGACUCCUACGGGAGGCAGCAGUGGGGAAUCUUGCCCAAUGGGGGAAACCCUGAGGCAGCAACGCCGCGUGUGGGAUGACGGCCUGGUGUAAC
rnacentral:rRNA from 1 species